AUACGUAGGUGACAAGCGUUAUCCGGAUUUACUGGGCGUAAAGGGCGUGUAGGCGGUCUUGCAAGUCAGAAGUGAAAUUCCUGAGCUCAACUCGGGCGCUGCUUCUGAAACUGCAGGACUUGAGUGCUGGAGGGGAUAGCGGAAUUCCUAGUGGAGCGGUAAAAUGCGCAGAUAUUAGGAAGAACACCGGUGGCGAAGGCGGCUAUCUGGACAGUAACUGACGCUGAGGCGCGAAAGCGUGGGGAGCAAACAGGAUUAGAUACCCUGGUAGUCCACGCUGUAAACGAUGAACACUAGGUGUAGGGGGUAUCGACUCCCUCUGUGCCGCAGUUAACACAAUAAGUAUUCCGCCUGGGGAGUACGGCCGCAAGGUUGAAACUCAAAUGAAUUGACGGGG
rnacentral:rRNA from 1 species